rnacentral:lncRNA from 1 species
AGAACAUUUUUCUAAAAAAAGAGAGAGAUUCUGAAAUAUUAAAAAGUUGAGAAUACUUUGAGAAAUAUUGAGAGCAACAGAUAGAUCCAAGAGAUAGAAAAUUCUGAGAAAAUCAUACCUGCAUGAAUUCAUUGUUUCAUUGAGGACCUUUGGUGAUUUUCUAAAGUUUUCAAUCUCUCAAACGAAUUCUAGUCCUUUUUUAGCUGAAAUAAUUUGAGUUCGACUGGUUUUCAAGAGUUUGGUUCAAGUGUUUGAUAGUGUUUCUGAUUACUGGGCAUUGCUUACUGUUUCUGCUGAUAUUAAAUCUGGUUCAAGUUGAUUUUUUCUGCUGUUUCUGGGUUGGAUGUACUACGCUGUUGUUAUUUACUGCUAUCCUGCUGAUCUUCAUCUUCUCUCCUUGUUCUAUUACCAGGUACAUUCUCGAAUCAUAGUGUCAUGUAGCUGUUGAAAACUGAAAGGUAAUGCUUGAAUAUUCGAGUUUUUUAAGUUGUGAUGGUAUCUUAAUAGUCAAAUAAUAGGUAGUUUUAUGAUCUAUCUUUGUAAUUCUAUAAAGAAUGUGGACUAUAGAAUUUCUAUUUGACUGAACUGUUUUCCUUUGUUUAUAAUGGUAACUUAUAAUCUCCCUUAGUUUCCAUGUAUGUUAGUUAGAAUUUGUGUUUUGUUUUAAAUAGAUAUAUCAAGUUGUUGGAAUUGAACAAGUUUAGGUAAUCCCAAUUGGAGCCGGCAUCAGUCCAAAAUACUAGGGUAAUCGUGAACAUAUGGAUAAAUGUGACGACCCGACCCACCGUCUCUUGUAUUUCAGCCCCGUUAUUCCCAUUAUAUUGUGCAUUAUUAUAUUUUUCUGGUAAGUUCAAAGUGGUUUGGAUUGAAAUUGGAUAUACAUGAGACAAAUAGUCUCUUUAAGGAAAGCUUAAGUUGGAAAAGUCAAUCGGACGUUGACUUAUNNNNNNNNNNNNNNNNNNNNNNNNNNNNNNNNNNNNNNNNNNNNNNNNNNNNNNNNNNNNNNNNNNNNNNNNNNNNNNNNNNNNNNNNNNNNNNNNNNNNNNNNNNNNNNNNNNNCUAGUUUCGGGGGAUGAUUUGUGACUUAGGAGUGAAAGCGGAAGUGAAUUCGGAGGUCCGAAGUGAAAGUUAGCCUAUUUUGGCAAAGUUAGAAUUUCGGAGAAAUCCACCUGAUAGGUGAAAAUUUGAUCCGAGGGUUGGAAUAGAAUUCCAAAAGUUGCAUUAGCUUCGUUAGGCAAAUUUGAGUAUGUGUGCAAAUUUUCAGGUCAUUCGGACCUUGUUUGGUGGGUUUCGACAUCAGAUAUGGGUUUGGAAAGUUUAAGUUUAACUUAGAAUGAAAUUCAAUGAUUUUGGUGAUUUUUGAUGUUAAAGAUAGCGUUUGUAUAGGCCGAGUGAGUUUAAAUGUGGUAUUAGGGCAUGUUUGUGUUUUUGGUUGAGGUCCCGGGGGCCUCGAGGUGAUAUCGGAUGGUUAAACGAGGAAUUUUGGAGUUAAGCAUCAUAAAUGACUGCUGCUUCUGGUAUUUUUGCGGAAGUGGAUGGGGAAGUGAUGUCCACAGAAGCAGACAAUAAGCCGUAGAAGUGGCCAAAAGGAAGUCAGAGAUCGCAGAAGCGGCCAAAGGGACCGCGUUCGCUGUAGUCGCGGAAGCAGAAGAUCGACAGCAGAAGCGGCCGCUGAGGAAAUGGUCAGACCACGGAAGCGGUCAACUGGACGCGGAAGUGAGGACCAUUGAAGCGGAAAAAAUAUCGCGGAAGCGUAAAUCGUCCAGUUUUAAUGAUAAUAGAGGGUUUAACAUUUUCAAAAGGAGAAGAACAAUAGAACUUCGGGCUGAGACGAUUGAGAGAGGUUUUGGAGAGAUUUUCUAGGGGAGUCUUCAGUAUGAUCUCUUAGACCUCGAAUAUGUGAUUAUGGUGCAAAGUAAUGGAUUAAAAACUUAGAAUUCAAGGUCUUUAAUGUCAAAAAUGGUGGUUAGGGCUUGAAACCCAAGUGAACCUUAAAGUGUUGAUUUGAAGAGUCAAAUGGACUCGGAUUCAUGUAAAUUUUAUAUGUAUGGACUCGUCGCGUGACGAGGAUUCUGAAAACGUGAAUUUUAUAAUUUUUUGAGAAGCGGGCACGGGGCUUGGGGCUCGGGUUUUUUCUAGUUUUGAGAUUUUGGCUAUUUCUCGGUUGUUUUCGAUUGGGUAUUGUCACAUAGGCAUUUUGUGAUGUAUUCACUCUGUUUUUGUUUUGAUUCGACGCACGAGGAGAACGAAUUGAGAGGCGAAGGCGACGCUAGCUUGAGAUUUCAUCGGUUUGAGGGGAGUAAUGCUAGUAAAUGUUGUUCUGAGGGUUUGAAACCCCGAACUUUCACAUCAUACCGCUAGGUUGAGGUGUGACACGCACUCCAUGAUAAGUGAAAGGUCGGAUACUGUUGAGGGAUCGUGAUAUGGUCCAUCCCGAGUGAGAAUUAUACUAUAUUGGCGUAUGAUACACAUACUGUGAUGACUAUUAUUGCGCUUUAUGCCAUGUUUGAGGCCUAGUGCCGACCUUUGAUAUCCUUCAAGAGUUGGUAUUACUGUUUUAGCAUGAUUGCAUAUCAUUUGGUUUGGGGCCUAGUGCCGACUUGUGAUAACCUUCGGGAGUUGGUAUUACUGUUUUAGCAUGAUUACAUAUCAUUUACUAUCAGUCCAUGGUUUUAAAACAUUGUUUUCAAAACCCAGCCGUAUUUCAAAUGUUCAGAACACAUAUGCUAUCUUUUAAAUGUAUUUCGGCUGAGGAUCAUUGUUUAUAACUGCCCAAUAGGCUUAUGAUAUAUUUUUUGGACUGUUUUUGGGUGGCUCGGGCUGCGCGUCGCAACAGUGAUUAGAAACAGUGGUAACACGGACACUAUAUAAUAUGAGCGGUCAGGUAACAUAGACUGGCGUGGUUAUUGAUUUUUGCCACGAGAUGGCUGGUUUGAUUAUUCGCCACGAGAUGGCUGGUUUGAUUAUUCGCCACGAGAUGGAUGGUUAUUGCGCUUGGGCUGUAGGAGCCCCUAUGGAGUCUGUACACACCCCCAGUGAGCGUCGUCGAUGAUAAAUGAUAUGGGUGGCUCGGGCUUCACAUCGUAGUGGGUACCGGAUUGUACCAUCAUAUGCAUUGAGUCACAUCCCUGCAUUUGCAUCAUAUAUAUAUAUAUGCCCUGAUCACAUUAAUUACUUUGUGUAAUUAUUGGGUUUUUUUGCUUUCGGAGCUUUAUUUGUUGUUAUUACUCGCUGAGCUGGUAGACUCACCCCCUACUCCCUGCACCUUGUGUACAGAUUCAGGUGCUCUAGAGGAUUAGCGCGUGCGGUUGCUGGUUGUCAGUUUAACAGUAUUGAGGUAGCUGUCAGCGUCUGCAGGACCCAUAUGUCUGAUCUUCCAGUUAUUUUCUAGUUAUUCUGACACUUGUAUUUCCCUCAUUGUGACAUGUAUUUAGUAGUGUUAGAGGCUCUAAAACUCGUGACCCCAAGUCUUGGGAGUUUUAUAUCUAAGUUUGUUGUUUUAUCUUGAAUUGUCUCUCUUUG